rnacentral:lncRNA from 1 species
AUUAUCCAAUUUGUAUUGUGGCCAGACUGAAUUGAAGAAACGACAAGGCACUUAGAGUGGAUAUGUUGCCUGAGGCCUAAGGUUUGCAGGUUGUUUAUGAGGCAGCCUAGAGGGCUGUUUUUUGGAAUGGAGGACCAGGAGUUUCCCAUAACAGAGAACGGGAUCAAAUGGCUUAGAGGUAUGCCCCUAAGACCAGAUGAUCAGCGAGUGCCUGGAACAUGUCAGAGCCUUUUUGGACUAACAUUGGAUUUUCGGACUGGAGAAACCAAGAGAGGCCGUGCGGCUUUUCCCCUGUUAACCAGGUUCCCGGGGAAAUUUACCAGUAGGCGAGAUCAAUGACCAAUGUGCAUGCACAGAGAGGCGACUGGAGGCUGAGAAGCUUCCUUUUUCUGGCUGCUGUGGCCUGCUGUCUGGGGUGGAGGGGUAGGUCCACAGAGGACGCAGACCUGAGCCCCUCCUGGGUUUUGGUACCAGAUGUAAGGUUCUUGUAUCGGUUUGAACCCGGAGAGUGCGCCAACAGACAACACAAGGCAGUAUGGAGCAACACGCUGUUUUAGCGAGCGCCUGGGUGUAGGUGGGCUAAGGCCUAAAAUGGCAUCAGUCCCAAGGGAGGAUGGGGCAAAGGUUUUAUAGUCUCCUGGAAACAGGAAGUGUCCUAGUAUGACAUAACUGCUACAUUGUAUCCGAAUGGCCUCUUUCUGGAUCUUCAGGGUAGUUGUCUUCUGGCUGGCUCUCUUCUUGCUUCUGCUAUCUUGCUGGCGCUAGUAGCCUUGCGCCUUGGGACUGGCCUGAGAAGGGAGGACUUAUUUAUCUCUUUAAACUUUCAGGCCC